GAAGAACUCCUUGGGGCGCAGGGCAAUCUGCUCAGGGUGGGAAUCCAUUGACUGCAAAAAAAAAGCCAUUUUUCCAUCAACUGCUGGGCGUUGAACAGUGUCACAAAACCACAAAGACCACACCUGAGGAGUGCUGCUAAUGCCUACACACCUCUCACAAGCUCCAGGGCAGAAGUAGUAGCUCAGACCCUUGGACUUCUUUAGUCGGGGAAGGGUCUGCACACCCAGCUCCUGGUAUCACAACUUCAAUUUUCACUUCAACUGCAGGAACAAACAGAAAC